UUUUAGACAUGGAUUUCAAGGAAAGCGUCACUAAGGAAGAAGGAAGGAACGUGGCUCAUGCAGCUCCAGGAAAAGAAACGCAAACUAAACAGACCUUUUCCGACCAUAAACCUUUAUCUGCCAAUUCGAAGAUGAUUUGUGACCAAAAGACCAGCCUCCAGCCUCCAUGGAACUCCUUUGACUAUUUUACUAAUUUUAAAGUUGAGAUUGUGAACAGUUGUGCUCAAAAAAGGAAAUUGGAGCUUUCCAGUUGUGACGACGGUUAUGAGACCCCGUCCAAAAAGGUCUCGUUGGACUCAAACGUGGAUGAUGUCUCGUGCCUCAGUCCUAUUAGCACUAAUGCCGAUACUGCCGUCAAAGGCUCUGAUGCAGUAAUUAGCUGCCAAAAUAAACCUGGACAAAAACUGAAAGAAACACAUCCACAGAUGGAAAAGCAAGAAAAGAUGAAGGAAAACACAAAUGUGGACGAGAAAGAGGACAAAGGUCAUUUCUCUGUGAGCUGCACAGGUCAACUACCUACAGAACAGCAAGAAUCUACCACUGAUAGUGGUUUAUAUUGUAAUGGUUCUGUGCUGGUGUUAGAUUCUUGGGACUUACAUGUAGGGGGUUUUGAAGAGGUUCAGAGCAUCUCACACAUUGGUCCCCCAAUAUUUGAAUCCACAAUGUGUUGCGGUGAUUCUGGAGAGUUGUCAUUUAAGGAACUUCCUAGAGCUAGUACUGAUUUCAUUGACAGUCAUCAUGAUGCUCAGGAAGAUGAUGUUGGGGACACCAGUACUGAAGCUACCUUGCCUUUAAACGUUAAGGUAAAAUCAGUUGUAGUGGUGCCCAACCCUCAGACUACCUGCUUUAAAGCAGAUCCGACUGUACUGGACCAGAACCAUGUCAACCUAAGCACAGGGGAGAAAGUAUUCGAAAGUGCUGCCAGUAAACACAGGAGUCAAAGGGAUGCAGUUGUGAAAGAAGAGUUGACCUGGGAGCAGCAGAAAAAUCAAUAUGUUAAUCUGGUCACCAAACAUAUCAAUGGAAAAACAGAAAAUCAGGAUGUGAUGACUGAGCUGCUCAGCCUCAUGACCCAGGUUGCGGACCAGGCACCAGUUGGUGACACAGCUUGGCAGCAUCCCUCCAAUCUCACCAGAAGGAAUUACCAGAGGCUCUUUGGAUUCCCAACCCCCAAAAUGUCCCUCCAGGACUGGCACACUAAAAACGGUGCACACAAGCGCUUUGCAGCAAUCCCUAGUGUCUUCAAACGAAGUCCGUUGCCAUAA
rnacentral:lncRNA from 1 species